rnacentral:rRNA from 1 species
CUCAGGAUGAACGCUAGCUACAGGCUUAACACAUGCAAGUCGAGGGGAAACGACAUUGGAAGCUUGCUUCCGAUGGGCGUCGACCGGCGCACGGGUGAGUAACGCGUAUCCAACCUGCCCACCACUUGGGGAUAACCUUGCGAAAGUAAGACUAAUACCCGAUGAUAUCCCUAGAAGACAUCUGAAAGGGAUUAAAGAUUUAUCGGUGAUGGAUGGGGAUGCGUCUGAUUAGCUUGUUGGCGGGGUAACGGCCCACCAAGGCGACGAUCAGUAGGGGUUCUGAGAGGAAGGUCCCCCACAUUGGAACUGAGACACGGUCCAAACUCCUACGGGAGGCAGCAGUGAGGAAUAUUGGUCAAUGGACGCAAGUCUGAACCAGCCAAGUAGCGUGCAGGAUGACGGCCCUAUGGGUUGUAAACUGCUUUUAUGCGGGGAUAAAGUUAGGGAUGUAUCCCUUUUUGCAGGUACCGCAUGAAUAAGGACCGGCUAAUUCCGUG